ensembl:lncRNA
CCCGCAGCAUAUGGAGGUUCCCAGGCCAGGGUCUAGUCAGAGCUUAGCUGCCGGCCUACACCAGAGCCACAGCAACGCGGAAUAUGAGCUGCAUCUGUGACCUACACUACAGCUCACGGCAAUGCCAGAUCCUUAACCCACUGAGCAAGGCCAGGGAUCAAACCCAAAACCUCAUGGUUCCUAGUUGGGUUCGUUAACCACUGCCACAAUGGGAACGCCCUAAGCCUAAGAUUUUUGUUUGGGUACCACUUUGAUCUUUUCUUUUUUUUUUUUUCUUUUAUGGCUGCACCUGCGGCAUAUGGGAGUUCCCAGGCUAGGGGUCAAAUUGGAGCUACAGCUGUCGGCCUACACCACAGCCACAGCAAUGCCGCAUCCUUAACCCACUGAGAAAGGCCAGGGAUUGAACCUGAAUCUCCAAGAAUACUAGUCGGGUUUGUAACCCACGGAGCCACGAUGGGAACUCCCUGUCAUUUUCUUCUUUUGGAUAAGAGCCAAGCCUGAGAUGUUAGAAGAAAGGAGAAGGCAAGUGCUAGAGGAGCCCCGGACAAGGCUGGCUGGUGUCUGUCCACUUUCUGCUUGCUGUUCUCUGCAGAGAUGGAGAAACACAGGCUGGAGAGUCAAGAGAAUUCAGUUCUGGUUCCAGCACUGGUGCUUAUGGCUGUGCAACUCUGGAUACAUACUUUAACCACUCUGAGCCUCAGUUAUGUCCACUGUGGGAACAGAGCAAAUGUGCUGAGUGUCACUUCCUGCAGGAGGUGGGGCUGUAAAUCUAUGACAGCAACGGAAGACAGAGUAUUUUCAGAAACUCCAUGGGGGCGGGGCAGGGGGACACAGGUGGCAGGAAGGGGGAUGGAGUCAACCUCCCUCGAUAGAUCUUUUAUGAUAGUGUAUGAAAAGGACUAGAAUAUUUUCCCCUUCAAUCUCCUCUUCCCCUGCCUUUGAAUGAAGCCAAUAUACAGGGAAAAUUGGACAAAGAAGAAGUAGGAAAAAUUCUAGAUGACCUAUUGAGGGCAACCUUGGCAUUAGAAUAAUUACUCAACACACACAAACACAUACACACACAGCACUUGAACCUCAUUGUAGAUUCAAAAUUUGCCCAAAGUGAUUACAUCACCAGAUCCAGAGAAGCAGGUACUAGGCAGGAAUUAUUAUCCCAAAUUUUCAGAAAGGGAAAUAAAGGCCCAGGGAAUUGAGGUAACCCUGCCCAAGGUCACACAGCAUAGCCAAAAUGGGGCCUCUGGACUCCAGUGCAGUUUGGCCAAAGCACAAGAUGGUUAUGGAUGAUGGGAAAAGCGCAGAGCCUCAUGGGCCCCCAGCUGGCAUCUCCAUAGUGAUACAAUCACAGAGGCUGUGGGGCUAAAAAUAAAGUCUGUACCUCCUGAAACCCCCGUCUUCCCAGCUGCAGCUGCAUGAGGGCUUGGUGAUGCUUGGUGACCAACACCUAAAUUGCAAAGGUGGUCCCUCCACCCUGAGAACGGGAGACAGCAUGCCCAGGACACCAGGAACGAAACGCCACUUGUGCUCCCAAGGAAGAGUUUCCCAAGGUUGUCAUCCAUGGGGUCCCGGUCAAAUGGGUUCCAUGUGGGUGGUGCCAGAGAGCAUAAGGUACUGCGCCCUCUGGGCACAAAGGUUCCUAUACACACACAAGUGAUCCGUUCAGAGCAGGCCUCCUGGGGAGGCGCCUCUUGCGACUUGAGAGUAAGAAGUGUUCCUUCUCCAGGGGAACCAAGGGUUUUCAAGUUUUCCCACUUAAAAAAAUAAAAAGAGUAGUUCCCUGUGGCUCAGUGGGUAUUGAGAAUCUGCUGUUGCCAUUGCUGUGGCACAGGUUUGAUUCCUGGCCCAGGAAUCUCCACAUGCGAAGGGCGCAGCCCCCAAAUAAAUAAAUCAAUAAACUAAAGUAGCCAUUUAGCCUAGAAUUUCAAAGCCAGACUGCUUGGAUCUGAGUCUAUCAGCCACUCGACCUUGGGGAAGGCAGCUUUCCCCUCUGGGCCUCAGCUUUCUCAUCUGUCCAAGGGGGUUAACCUCAGAGGGCCGUGGAGGACCUGGCAUAGAGUAAGUGACCCUAGAGCCCAGUCAAUCGGCGGCCUGGUGCAUCGCGUCCUGGAGGGUGGGCUAGCCUGAGACCCCAGACGUGAAUGGACACUCCCUCUGAAAGCAGCCUUUCCAGGUACCAGCUGUGUGUGGGCUGGAAACCACCUGCAGCAGCCUGCUCUACACAUGCUGAGCACCUCUCACUCUCCAUCUACAAGACCUUGCACAAAUCAGCCCUUAGCCUUGGCUUAUCUUCCCAAUAAUCUAUAACAUGGAUCGUAACCUACAAUUUCUAGCAUGGUCAUUAACCAUAUUGCGGCUAAUUCUGAACGGUCUUAAAAUUCUCAAGAAGCACACAAUGAAUGCAACUCCUCAUUAGCCACGCAGCCCUAAGUUAAUAAUUAAGCAGCCUUAAUUGGUGGAUAUGGAAAUGUCCGGAUCGGCUUCCUAGGCACCACUGCACACGAACUGGCCGGGCCCAAUAAUGGAUUUCCUAAGUCAGCUCACAGAGCUAAUUCACAUAGAAAGUUAAUUAGCCUAAUGAAGGCAAGUGUGACUUAGUGAAUUCCAGCCUGACUUUCUGCUCUGACUCAGCCACCCCAGGAGGCUGCCAAUGUCAUCCUCCAGGCUUUGAUUUCCUGGAGCUCAAAGGAGGGGGCCCAGGGGACAGUGCUUCAGGGACCGUGGGUCCCUGGCUCCCCUAAUGUGAUCAGUUGGGAGUCAGUGAGUGUUCAGGAGGCCACUGAGAUGCAGGAUGCACCUUCUUUUUUUUUAAAGGGCUGCACCUGCGGCAUAUGGAAGUUCCCAGGCUAGGGGUUGAAUCAGAACUGCAGCUGCUGCCUACACCACAGCCACAGCAACACAGGAUCCGAGCCCAUCUGCAAUCUAUGAGGCAGCUUGUGGCAAUGCUGAUCCUUAACCCACUGAGCAAGGCCAGGGAUAGAACUCACAUCCUCACAGAUACUAGCUGGGGUCUUAACCCACUGAGGCACAACAGGAAUUCUGAGGACACACCUUGUGGAUCUGGUUCUGGAAGCUUUGUGAGGGAGCAAGUGGAAGUCACUGGUGAGUCCCCAGACAUCACCCACCCUUAUACGUACAACUAAAGAAGAACAGGGCUGUCCUUGACCAGAAAGCCAAUGGCUCAUGUGUGCAGGGCAACUGAGAGUUCACAAAAACACCCUCUCAUCCAGACUCUCAAAGCAUGCAUACAGCAUCCCUGGAAGGGAGCAUCACUCCCCACCCUGUUCCCCCCGUUGGAUGGAUGCAGAAACCAAGGCACAGAAAAGUACGAUCUUCAAAGGCCAUUCUACCUUGGGAAUGGUACAACUCAUGUCUCCCAGACCCACAGGCCCCUCCUGGUCCAGUUUUCUUUCACUGUUCACCAUCCAGAGGCAAGCCAAAGCCAGCAUCUCGUCGGUCCAGAAACAGCCCAAGAGUCUAUCAACAGAUGAGUGUUCUGUCUGUCCAUAAAGUGGAAUAUUACUCAGCCAAUAAAAGGAGGGUGAUUCUGACACGUGCUACCACAUGGAUGAACCUAAAGGACAUUGUUCAGUGACCUAAACUAGAUACAAAAGGACAAAAACUGUAUGAUUCCACGUAUACGAGGUACCCAAAGGAGUCAAAUUCACAGAGACAGAAAGCAGAAGGGCAGGUGCCAGGGACUGGAAGGAAGAGGAAAUGGAAAGUUGCUGUUUAAGGGGGACAGAGUUUCAGUUUGGGAAGAUGAAAAAGUUCUGGAGAUGGAUUAUGGUGAUGGUUGCACAACAACGUGAAUGUACUUAUUGCCACUGUACUGAGCACUGAAAAAUGGUUAAGAUGGUCAAUUGGAUGUUAUGCGCAUUAUACUACCCACAAAAAGAGAAUCAAGUACUGCAUGUGCCACAACAUGGAUAAACCUCAAAAACACCAUGCUAUGUCAAAGGAGCAAGACAUAAAAGGUCACAUAUUAUAUGAUUCCAUUUAUAUGAAAUAUCCAGAAUAGGUACAUCUACAAAGACAGAAAGUAGAUUACUAGUGGUCUGGGGCCAGGGGAGGAGGGAGAAUGGAAAGUGACUACUAAUGGGUGUGGGGUUUCCUUUUAGGGUGAUGAGACUGCUCUAGAAUUAGACAGAGGUGUAGGUCGAACAGCAUCGUGAAUGUACUAUGUGACACCGAACCAUACAUUUAAAAAUGGUUAAUUUUGAGUUCCCGUCGUAGCUCAGUGGUUAACGAAUCUGACUAGGAACCAUGAGGUUAUGGUUUUAAAAAAAGGAAAAAAAAUCUCCCAUUCCCCAACCUUCUUUCCUUCUGUAUCCAAACCUUGCCCAGUGCCCUCUUUUUCUGCUAGGCAUCUGCCCAGCAGCCCUUCCUGCCCCUCCCAGGCUCUGCACACACCAGAACCUCCAUUUUUCUCUCUGCAUCCAGGCCUGAGCAUAGCCAGAGGCUUGGAAUCCUUCUGUCUGCAUCAUUCCAAGCAGGUUAGGAUUUCAUUGAGAGCAGGAAAAAUUUGGAAGGCAUCCUCCUGGGAGAGCAGGUGGGCCAGACCACUUUUUUCAAGUUUCCUUUCAUCAGAGGCUUUGUUAAACCCUCUUCCAAGUUCUGAAUCAGUCAAGUGCUCCAAGGAAGCCAAAAAGGCACCACUCAGCCCUGCCCCUAGGAGGGAGGCCUGUGGGUAGGACGCCUGGACCCCAGAAGCCACAUUAAGAUGACAGUCCAGGAUUUGGCUUAGACAGCAUAGGGAGAUCUAGGGAAAGCAGAUCUAACUCAUUUUGGAGUUAUUUUUUGUGCUGUUGUUUUUCUCUUUAGGGCUACAGAUGUGGCACAUGGGACCAGGGGAGGGGUCACAAGCCGGCCACAGCCACAGACAGGGCAACAUGGGAUCUG